UUCUAGAAUGUUCUGAGUGGAACUAACCAUUGAUCUUACUCUCUGUGCUAAGCGGUCCUCACAGGAAGAGCCAUGGAACCUCACAGCCUUAUCCUUGUCCCCAUGAGGUACCUCUCCGAGUGACACAGAAGCUCUUGGUCUCUGUUCUCCAAACCCUGAGAAGCUGCUGUCUCCAUGAGGCCAGCGUUUCUGAGAGACAGUGUCACUUCUCUUUCAUGGUGUGACACUCCCCGAAGGGCGUCCUGGCAGGGGCAGGGUAGCCAGGCUCCCCAGAGCACUGCUUGAUCUGGGGGGCACUGAGAAGGAACCAUUGUGGCAAGGCAGCCAGAGAACAAGGAGGGAAGAGAGGACAGAUAUACCGAGAACUGGCCAGGAGUGGAGGGAGGCAGGAAGCGCGUAACAUGGCUACAAACAGAGCAACAGCAGACUCUAGGCCUGCUGUUCUCAGGGAACUGAUUCUCCCCCAGAGCCUCUGAGAGCUCCAACCCUGUUGACAGCUCGGUCUCAGACAUCUGGCCUCCUGAACUGUGACAGAUAGCAUCCUGCUUCCUCCAUCAGGCCUCAGGCCUUAACCCCGAUCCACCCAGAUGACUCCUGGCAAGGUCACUAGCAACCGUCUGGUUGCCAAGGCAGCUGUCUUGACCUGUCAUUACUUUGUCUUUCUUGAAACUCUCUCUGCCCUUGGCACUCAACACCAUCUCCUGGGACCCUCUGGACACAUGGCCUGCUUCUCCUGGGCCUCCUGCUUCCAACAGGGUCCAACCUCAGCUCUCAAACCUGGCUCUCCACAUCUCUCUGGGCACGCUCAUCACGGAGCCAGGCAGGGCUCAUGACAACAGGCCGCCCUCAGAUGUCCUGCUCAGGUUGUCGGGAAAGGGACACAUUUCAUCUUUGUCCUCCAAAGUCAACCGUAUAUAUCCAGGACCGUGGAGAAGAAAAAGCCACAGGUCUCGGCAUUGCCUGGCACUCAGGUAAGCUGGAGAGAGGGCGAGCCCUGAGUGCGUGUCGCUGACCAAGAAGUAUCUUGAUGUGACAUUCUGAGUCUAUCUGGACCCUAGCUGCUAUGACAGACUGCUGGUCAGUUUCUAACAACUUAUUCCCAUUCUCAUGGCCCCACUCAACCUCUUUAGAAUGUUCUGGAUCCCCUUUGAAGAAGAAGGGGGAAGCAGGUAUUCAUCUUCUUCUGCUUUUCAACUAGGGAUGUAAUAUGACCAGCUACCUCAUACCUCCCCCGCCAUGAUGGACUGCAUCCCUCAAACUGUGAGCCAGAAUAAACCAACCAACCUUC